GAUGAACGCUGGCGGCGUGCCUAAUACAUGCAAGUCGAGCGAACAGACGAGGAGCUUACUCCUCUGACGUUAGCGGCGGACGGGUGAGUAACACGUGGAUAACCUACCUAUAAGACUGGGAUAACUUCGGGAAACCGGAGCUAAUACCGGAUAACACGUUGAACCGCAUGGUUCAACAGUGAAAGACGGUCUUGCUGUCACUUAUAGAUGGAUCCGCGUCGCAUUAGCUAGUUGGUAAGGUAACGGCUUACCAAGGCAACGAUGCGUAGCCGACCUGAGAGGGUGGUCGGCCACACUGGAACUGAGACACGGUCCAGACUCCUACGGGAGGCAGCAGUAGGGAAUCUUCCGCAAUGGGCGAAAGCCUGACGGAGCAACGCCGCGUGAGUGAAGAAGGUCUUCGGAUCGUAAAACUCUGUUAUUAGGGAAGAACAAAUGUGUAAGUAACUAUGCACGUCUUGACGGUACCUAAUCAGAAAGCCACGGCUAACUACGUGCCAGCAGCCGCGGUAAUACGUAGGUGGCAAGCGUUAUCCGGAAUUAUUGGGCGUAAAGCGCGCGUAGGCGGUUUUUUAAGUCUGAUGUGAAAGCCCACGGCUCAACCGUGGAGGGUCAUUGGAAACUGGAAAACUUGAGUGCAGAAGAGGAAAGUGGAAUUCCAUGUGUAGCGGUGAAAUGCGCAGAGAUAUGGAGGAACACCAGUGGCGAAGGCGACUUUCUGGUCUGUAACUGACGCUGAUGUGCGAAAGCGUGGGGAUCAAACAGGAUUAGAUACCCUGGUAGUCCACGCCGUAAACGAUGAGUGCUAAGUGUUAGGGGGUUUCCGCCCCUUAGUGCUGCAGCUAACGCAUUAAGCACUCCGCCUGGGGAGUACGACCGCAAGGUUGAAACUCAAAGGAAUUGACGGGGACCCGCACAAGCGGUGGAGCAUGUGGUUUAAUUCGAAGCAACGCGAAGAACCUUACCAAAUCUUGACAUCCUCUGACCCCUCUAGAGAUAGAGUUUUCCCCUUCGGGGGACAGAGUGACAGGUGGUGCAUGGUUGUCGUCAGCUCGUGUCGUGAGAUGUUGGGUUAAGUCCCGCAACGAGCGCAACCCUUAAGCUUAGUUGCCAUCAUUAAGUUGGGCACUCUAAGUUGACUGCCGGUGACAAACCGGAGGAAGGUGGGGAUGACGUCAAAUCAUCAUGCCCCUUAUGAUUUGGGCUACACACGUGCUACAAUGGACAAUACAAAGGGUAGCGAAACCGCGAGGUCAAGCAAAUCCCAUAAAGUUGUUCUCAGUUCGGAUUGUAGUCUGCAACUCGACUACAUGAAGCUGGAAUCGCUAGUAAUCGUAGAUCAGCAUGCUACGGUGAAUACGUUCCCGGGUCU
rnacentral:rRNA from 1 species